rnacentral:rRNA from 1 species
UACAGAGGGCUCAAGCGUUGUUCGGAUUCAUUGGGCGUAAAGGGCGCGUAGGUGGCGCUGUAAGUCAGCUGUGAAAUUUCGGAGCUUAACUCCGAAACUGCAUUUGAUACUGCGGUGCUUGAGGACUGGAGAGGAGACUGGAAUUUACGGUGUAGCAGUGAAAUGCGUAGAGAUCGUAAGGAAGACCAGUGGCGAAGGCGGGUCUCUGGACAGUUCCUGACACUGAGGCACGAAGGCCAGGGGAGCAAAUGGG